CGUGCGGGUGCUACCAUGCAGUCGAACGUGAUCCGCCCUUCGGGGUGGUGAAAGUGGCGCACGGGUGAGUAACGCGUGGAUAAUCUGCCCGAGGAUUUGGGAUAACAUCUCGAAAGGGGUGCUAAUACCGAAUAAGCCCACGGGGUCUACGGAUCUUGCGGGAAAAGGGGGGGACCUUCGGGCCUCCUGUCCUUGGAUGAGUCUGCGUACCAUUAGCUAGUUGGUGGGGUAAUGGCCUACCAAGGCGACGAUGGUUAGCUGGUCUGAGAGGAUGAUCAGCCACACUGGAACUGAGACACGGUCCAGACUCCUACGGGAGGCAGCAGUGGGGAAUUUUGCGCAAUGGGGGAAACCCUGACGCAGCAACGCCGCGUGGGUGAUGAAGGCCUUCGGGUCGUAAAGCUCUGUCUGGAGGGAAGAAAUGAUUGGGAGCUAAUACCUCUUGAUCUUGACGGUACCUCUGAAGGAAGCACCGGCUAACUCCGUGCCAGCAGCCGCGGUAAUACGGAGGGUGCAAGCGUUGUUCGGAAUUAUUGGGCGUAAAGCGCGUGUAGGCGGUCUUUUAAGUCUGAUGUGAAAGCCCCGGGCUCAACCUGGGAAGUGCAUUGGAAACUGGGAGGCUUGAGUACGGGAGAGGAGAGUGGAAUUCCUAGUGUAGGAGUGAAAUCCGUAGAUAUUAGGAGGAACACCGGUGGCGAAGGCGGCUCUCUGGACCGAUACUGACGCUGAGACGCGAAAGCGUGGGUAGCAAACAGGAUUAGAUACCCUGGUAGUCCACGCCGUAACGAUGAGUACUAGGUGUUUGCGGGUAUUGACCCCU
rnacentral:rRNA from 1 species